rnacentral:lncRNA from 1 species
GGGCGCCGGCGGCCGCGGCUGCCGUUCCGGGAGCUCGUUUGCAUCCGCCAGCGCGGCGAGCGGCGCGGGGCCCUCGGAGCAGGAGCCAAGAAGCCCCUAUCCCCACGGCGGCUGCGGCGACCACCUGAGGGCCGACGCCCAGGCUGCAGUCAGGACCAUGAGGGCCGGCUUCUCCCGGGUCCCCCAAGGGCCGAGGAUGGCCGUCCAGCCCACUUCCCGCAGCCCCCCUCGGACCACAGCAUCCUCCUAGCACCCGGGACGGAGGGGCCAUGCCUGGGGAGCAGCCCCUCGGAGCGCCACCCCCAACCAUGACUGGAGACCUGCAGCCCUGCCCAGCAGCCAGCGGCACAGGGGGCUCCCCGAAAUGCCCUGCUGAGAUCGGUGUCCUGGCCGGCAGGACCUCCAAGGCCAUGGGCGGCGGAACCCAGGGCACAGAUGCCCCCAAGACCCAGGUGCGGCAGGCUGGGAGGGUGGGGGGCAGGGCCCCGCUCCCCAGCACCCAGUGCCUGAGCAGCACCCUCGCGAAGGG